CCUACGGGAGGCAGCAGUGAGGAAUAUUGGUCAAUGGACGAGAGUCUGAACCAGCCAAGUAGCGUGAAGGAUGACUGCUCUAUGGGUUGUAAACUUCUUUUAUAUGGGAAUAAACUGUUCCACGAGUGGGAUUUUGUAUGUACCAUAUGAAUAAGGAUCGGCUAACUCCGUGCCAGCAGCCGCGGUAAUACGGAGGAUCCGAGCGUUAUCCGGAUUUAUUGGGUGUAAAGGGAGCGUAGGUGGAUUGUUAAGUCAGUUGUGAAAGUUGGCGGCUCAACCGUAAAAUUGCAGUUGAAACUGGCAGUCUAGAGUACAGUAGAGGUGGGCGGAAUUCGUGGUGUAGCGGUGAAAUGCUUAGAUAUCACGAAGAACUCCGAUGGCGAAGGCAGCUCACUGGACUGCAACUGACACUGAGGCGCGAAAGUGUGGGUAUCAAACAGGAUUAGAUACCCUUGUAGUC
rnacentral:rRNA from 1 species